rnacentral:rRNA from 1 species
UACGUAGGGGGCGAGCGUUGUCCGGAUUUAUUGGGCGUAAAGCGCGUGUAGGCGGCUUUGCAAGUCGGGUGUGAAAGCCCUCAGCUUAACUGAGGAAGUGCGCCCGAAACUGCAGAGCUUGAGUACCGGAGAGGAUGGCGGAAUUCCCCAAGUAGAGGUGAAAUUCGUAGAUAUGGGGAGGAACACCGGUGGCGAAGGCGGCCAUCUGGACGGAUACUGACGCUGAGACGCGAAAGCGUGGGGAGCAAACAGG